CCUUCUNGCCCUACCAGUUCUAUCUGCCCCGGUGACCAUCGUUUAACGGCCGCGACUAAGUGCUAAGGUAGCAUAAUAAUUUGUCUUUUUAUUGGAGACUAGAAUGAAAGAAGAUAACUAGGCUUAACUGUCUCCAACCAACCUAUUAAAAUUGAUUUAAGAGUGAAAAAUCUCGUAUACUAGGGAGAAGGACGACACGACCCUGUUGAGUUUGUACUGCAAUUAAUAAAUUAAUUAAUGCACUUUUAUUGGGGCAAUACAAGAUCACAUUUAAACUCUUUUAAAAGGUCUUCGACAUAUCAAACAAAAGAUCCUCCUACAGAAAAACCAAAGACUACCUCAGGGAUAACACCGUCAUUCUUCCCUAGAGAUCUAAUUGAAGGAAUGAGUUUGCUACCUCAAUGUUGGCCUAAUUGUAACUCUUAAAAUGCAUACGGUUAUCUAACCCGAGCCUGUCCGGCUUUUAAAACCUUCCAUGAUCUGAGUUCAGACUCAAUACCCG
rnacentral:rRNA from 1 species